UACGUAGGGUGCGAGCGUUGUCCGGAAUCAUUGGGCGUAAAGGGCUCGUAGGCGGUUUGUCGCGUCGGGAGUGAAAACACUGGGCUUAACUCAGUGCUUGCUUCCGAUACGGGCAGACUAGAGGUAUUCAGGGGAGAACGGAAUUCCUGGUGUAGCGGUGAAAUGCGCAGAUAUCAGGAGGAACACCGGUGGCGAAGGCGGUUCUCUGGGCAUUACCUGACGCUGAGGAGCGAAAGUGUGGGGAGCGAACAGG
rnacentral:rRNA from 1 species